rnacentral:rRNA from 1 species
UGGGGAAUAUUGCACAAUGGGGGAAACCCUGAUGCAGCGACGCCGCGUGGAGGAAGAAGGCCUUCGGGUUGUAAACUCCUGUCGUAAGGGACGAUAGUGACGGUACCUUACAAGAAAGCCACGGCUAACUACGUGCCAGCAGCCGCGGUAAAACGUAGGUGGCAAGCGUUGUCCGGAAUUACUGGGUGUAAAGGGAGCGCAGGCGGGUCUGCAAGUUGGAAGUGAAACUCAUGGGCUCAACCCAUGAACUGCUUUCAAAACUGCGGAUCUUGAGUGGUGUAGAGGUAGGCGGAAUUCCCGGUGUAGCGGUGGAAUGCGUAGAUAUCGGGAGGAACACCAGUGGCGAAGGCGGCCUACUGGGCACUAACUGACGCUGAGGCUCGAAAGCAUGGGUAGCAAACAGGAUUAGAUACCCCAGU